GAGCAGAUCGAGUGGGCCUAACCAGGAGACUGAGCUGUCGGUGUAGGCUUUUAGGUGUUUGGAACAGGGGUUUCCCCAGAUGUGGGUGUUAACCGUGUUUCUGAAUUAGUAACCAGGAGGGAAAAUCCUACUGUGAUGUUUCUCUCCUCCAGGUUGGUUAGAUGUAGUUUUGAAGAAAGUGGCCGGAUCCUAGUGGUCCUCUGGCUGCAGCUAGUUGAGGCUGAAAUUGGGAACUUAAAGCAGCUGUGAGCUGGUAGUAACCUAGAGGCCUCACCUGGGCCCCGAGCGUCUCAGCUGCUACCUAAAUACUCAGCAGGAUUGAUUCUGGGCCGCGGGAUGACAUUGCCAUCUGGAGGAUAGGCUGACCCGUCCCCUUCGCUCCCCAUUUAAGGUGGGGCCUGAUGAAGGUGAUCGCAAGUAGCUGUGCUCAUUUGUCGGGCUUUGAGGUUUUCUUUAUUACGUGCCCUGUACCUCAGUUCUCUUCAUCCCUCAUCUCUUUGAAGUUGCCACAUUUCCCAGCCUCUGUUAAAAUAUUUGCAUUGGGCGAUUAUUGAGGUUUUCCAACAAACAGAUCACACGUACACAGUAUUUGAGACGUGUUAUCAUCCACUGUAAACAUACCUGAAGUCUUCCUUGUGUGUAUACAAACUGGAUAACCUUUUAAAAUACCCGAAAGUCUUCUCCAUUGCCCAGAAUGACCUGGAGCUUUCUCCUCGGUCACUUCGUUAGCAUUGCCUCGAUGAGGCUGUGUUACACGUGUUUCUCCGGGAUACACAUGCUUCUCACUGCCCAGAAUGGCCUCCCGUGAACCAGGGGAGAGGGCCGGUGACAUGCUUCUCCUAUAUGAAAAAUCAAGCGGAAGAUUGCUCGCCAGAACUGCAGGGUAGGGUAGUGGACCAUGUUUGGAAAUCUAGUAAGCUAACUUUCUUCACAGAUGAACUGGAAACUCCCCACGACUCAACUCCGAGGCUUGCAAGAUGAGUUUCCCCAUCCAGAUGAGCUGCAAAUGGCCCUUCCAAAAUGUUUCUCUUUCCUAAAAUGAGUGAUGGAAACCCUUUGUGGCCUGUUUUCAAAGGCUAAAAAUGACAUCGUGCUGAUACUGUUAAAUGCUUGAGUUAAGACAGUUUAGAAGGAGAUCAAGAGAGCCAUUUAACGGUUUCAAAGUAUGGAGCUAAAGUAAAGAUAGUUUCUUGUUUCUUUAGGCCAUUUUAGUAACACAGUUUUAAAAAGUAGACUGUUUUUUUCUUUUCCUGCGUUUCACUUUGAAUGGAUCCCAAAGUGUGUCAAUUUCUGAAGGUAUAAUUAACAUUAACCAGUUAUAACUCCGUCCCCCAACACACACACGUGCAUUUGUCACAGUUGGCCCCGUGGCUUGUGUUCAUUCCUUGUACACACGGAUGCCCAGAAAAUACUGAUUGAACACGUGAAUAUCGAGUUCUGAGCCUGUCAGUCAUUAAGGCUCUAGGUUCAUAAGGUUUUGCUUCCAGCACAUCCAGGUCCAGACAAUGGGAGGAUUUGGUCUGGUGGCCUCUCUAUUUGGUAAAUUCUCUGUCAAACGAAUCAUUUAUAGCCCUGAAGCUAAAAUUAAUUAAAAAAAAAAAAAAAAGCAAGACGAAAAGCAAACCAGCUACAUCACCCCCUGGUGGGAUGCCUAAAUAUUUUACUUUUCAAUAGGUUGUCUGUCCAGGUUAACCUGAACUGGAAACUCCGGGCAGAGCAUUUGUUAUCCCGGCCUGGUAAGCCAGCCAUUUAGUGUCCUCUUACCUCUUUUUAUACCAUUUUUUAAUGUUUUUAAGAAAAGAAGCUUCAAGUGCACUCAGAAUCGAAAUACUGCAAUUUCCCCUUUUGAGAGUUUUGGAAAGUGGGAUUGUUUUGCCGGUUGGUAGUUAAAUGAAGAUCUGAAACGCCCAAGUCAGAUAAAAAUAACGGGUACUAGUGUUCAGAUGGAAGAUUAUGGCUUACCAAUUAGCUUUCCCAUCCACCACCAUACUUAGUAUCGAAAUAACAUGGUGACGUGGUCUCCGGCCCUGACGUCUGUGUGAGGACCCCGGAGCCCAGAGACAGUGGUGGGGUGACAGAGCCCCCUGGCUGCUCAGCAGGAGGAGACGACCCCCAGAGGUGCUGGGCGUGGUAGCCCCUGGGAGGCUGCGGGUCUGCCGCAGGUCCUGAUGGGCGGAGUGUGUGGGCCCCUGCCCGGCUGCAGGUGGGAGCAGGGCGGGCAGGUGAGUUCACUCUGGAGGUGACCUCCUGUCCUGAUUUCGGUGUCUGAGCCCGUUGGCCUGGACAUUCUCUGCGAGUUGAAGGGCGCUUGUCCCCAUUCAGUGUGUGCACGCCUGCUCAGGCUGCCCUCACAGUUCCCACAGGCUGAGCGUGAAAAGGAAGCUUAUUUCUCGCCCUUCUGGAGGCUGUAAAGUGAGGAUCCAGGUGCUGGCAGACUCAGUUCUCGCCGGUGUUGGCUCAGCUGCAGCAGGGUUUUUGGAUCAGGAUCAUGGUCAAAUACAAGAUGUACGGAAAGUGCUGGAUUUGGUAUGGAAACGAGAGCGUUUCCUGGCCACAGAUGGAACCUGGGGCCAGGAGCGUCGCUGGGGCUGCUGCUAAGACUGUGGAUCUGCUGGGAGCCAGCGUCCCCUUGGCGGGUGCGGGAGGGUUCGGUGACGUCCACCCUCAUCGCUGCCUGUGUUGCUGGCCUGGGCCAGUGGGAGCUGUUCUAGGUGAUCACCUGUGUGACCGCAGCUCUCCAGCUGCAAACCUGUUCACUCCUGACUCAGUCGAUCAUUCCAGUGAAUCAUCCGACCUCCCUCCGGUCAUUUCCACUGAAAACUCUGAACAUCACAGCUGUUGGCACCGCCUCCUGACCUGCCUGCCUUCUCGUUAAUGUCCCCAGCAUUGACUCACUGCGUCAUCCUGGACUCUCCCUUGCCUCCCAGAUCCCAAUCUUAUUAAUUUUACCUCCAAAAGAUCUCUUACACUUGAGCCUUCCCCUCUCACUUGCACUGGCGGAACACCUCUUUCACCACGCCUACCACCCUGCUCAUUGCGCCCGGGUACCCGAGCCUGGCCGUGGUCCCAUCGCUGGCUCCCCACUGCCCUCGGGUCAGCGUCCCCCGUCCUCAACGUGGCUCCUGUGGGCCUGCGCCACGGGCUCCUCACUGCUUUCUCAGCCUCUAAAUAUGCUUCCCCGCCCCCAGUACACACUGGAUGGCAGCCUGCUAGUUGUGAUAACGUUUAUUGUCAGUUUAUUUUUAAAGACUUCUGUACUUUGGGGCCGAUUCAGUGUUACCCUUGUAAUAACAGCAUCACGGCGCAAGUGCCCCGGAACUAUACCUGACCCUUAAGGAAGGAGGAGAGGCUGGUGCCGAAAACGCUGCCUGUGUCUGUUUUCAUGUGGGGUGUUUCCUGAAAACGCCCCUUGAAGAUUGUCGAGAGCCGUGCUGUCCCAUUGAAAUACAGUGCGAGCCACAGAGGGGGUUUUAGCUGUCUAGUAGCCACGUUAAAGAUGUAAAAAGAAACAAGUGAGACUAAUUUUCACAGUCUGUUCUUUUACCUGGUAGAGCCAAAGUAUCUUUAUUUCCACGUGUUCAACAUAAAACGUUAUUAAUGUGACGAUUCACAUUCUUCU